rnacentral:rRNA from 1 species
CUCGUGUCGUGAGAUGUGGUUAAGUCCGCAACGAGCGCAACCCCUAUUGUUAGUUGCCAUCAUUCAGUUGGGCACUCUAGCGAGACUGCCGGUAAUAAACCGGAGGAAGGUGGGGAUGACGUCAAAUCAUCAUGCCCCUUAUGACCUGGGCUACACACGUGCUACAAUGGUUGGUACAACGAGUUGCGAGUCGGUGACGGCGAGCUAAUCUCUUAAAGCCAAUCUCAGUUCGGAUUGUAGGCUGCAACUCGCCUACAUGAAGUCGGAAUCGCUAGUAAUCGCGGAUCAACACGCCGCGGUGAAUACGUUCCCGGGCCUU